CGAAAUUGUGGGAACCUCAAAUCUGUCAAAUAUUGUAAAACAAAAUGAGAUAAGCAGAUGCAAGCAUUUUACUUCAUGCUGUCAGUUUUGAAAAUAAAAUAACCUAUUUCUGAUUUUUAUUAUUAUUAUUAUUUUUAAAUUUUCUUGCCAUAUCAUAUGAAUUGCACUAUCAGGGUCCGAACCAUUUGAAAGGAGACAAUAACUAAAAUGGCAUUUACAAGUGCAACUAAGGUGACAAUUUAUCGUGCUGGCAAGAAUUAAAAUGCGUUCACUAUGCAGAAGACAACCUAAUAAUGUCCUGUAUUUAAUCCUAUGUAAGGAUGAUAAUGCCAGAGGAAAAGCAGAAAUCUGAAUCUGGUUGCAACCAUCAGGCAGAGAUGUUCGACAAGUUUCCUAGGAAAUGCUAUUCACUUGUGUCCUGUAACACUGGUGAUGAUGGGAAUUCUCCAGGUUCUCUAAUAUCUGAUAUCCAACUGUGUAAAAUUGUUCUUAGACUUGAAACCUGCUAGAACUUAGAUUCUG
rnacentral:lncRNA from 1 species